rnacentral:rRNA from 1 species
AUACGUAGGGGGCGAGCGUUGUCCGAAGUUACUGGGCGUAAAGCGCGCGUAGGCGGCUCUUUAAGUGACUGGUGAAAUCCCCGGGCUCAACCCGGGGUAGUCUGGUCAUACUGGGGAGCUAGAGUGUGGGAGGGGAGAGCGGAACUCCUGGUGUAGCGGUGAUAUGCGUAGAGAUCAGGAAGAACACCCGUGGCGAAGGCGGCUCUCUGGACCAUAACUGACGCUGAGGUGCGAAAGCCAGGGGAGCGAACGGGAUUAGAUACCCCGGUAGUCCUGGCCCUAAACGAUGGAUACUAGGUGUGGCGGGUAUCGACCCCUGCCGCGCCGCAGCUAACGCAAUAAGUAUCCCGCCUGGGGAGUACGGCCGCAAGGUUGAA